AGUCGGGUACAGGAGCUGGAGACGAGCUUGGCUGAACUGAGGAACCAGAUGGGUAAGCUGGGGCUGGGGUGACCUGGGAGCAGGAAUGGUGUCAGAGGGCUGUGGGGGUGGUUUAGAAUGCCCCAGGGAGUUGGGUGGAUGGAAUGGCUUUGAGGCAGAGGGAAAGAGGUCUGUGCCAGGAGAUGGCAAGUCUCGUCAUCUCCAUGAGCCUCAGUGCCCCAUCAGCAAAGACGAAGGAGUGCCUGUUGUCAGCCACCCACAGUUGUCGCUAUCGGAAAGUGGUUUGGAAGAUUGGCUAACAUCCGGGUGCGAGGAAUCAUCAGCAGGGAGGCCAAGUUUGGGGAGCUUGAGAGGAGAGCCCCCAGCAGGGCCCUCCGAGGUGGAGCAGCAGCUACAAGCGGAGGCUGAGCACCUGCGGAAGGAGCUGGAGGGUCUGGCAGGACAGCUUCAAGCCCAGGUGCAAGACAAUGAGGGC
rnacentral:sRNA from 1 species